GGCGGCGUGCUUAACACAUGCAAGUCGAACGAUGAACCGGUUUCGGCCGGGGAUUAGUGGCGAACGGGUGAGUAACACGUGGGCAAUCUGCCCUGCACUCUGGGACAAGCCCUGGAAACGGGGUCUAAUACCGGAUACGACUGCCGACCGCAUGGUCUGGUGGUGGAAAGCUCCGGCGGUGCAGGAUGAGCCCGCGGCCUAUCAGCUUGUUGGUGGGGUGAUGGCCUACCAAGGCGACGACGGGUAGCCGGCCUGAGAGGGCGACCGGCCACACUGGGACUGAGACACGGCCCAGACUCCUACGGGAGGCAGCAGUGGGGAAUAUUGCACAAUGGGCGCAAGCCUGAUGCAGCGACGCCGCGUGAGGGAUGACGGCCUUCGGGUUGUAAACCUCUUUCAGCAGGGAAGAAGCGUGAGUGACGGUACCUGCAGAAGAAGCGCCGGCUAACUACGUGCCAGCAGCCGCGGUAAUACGUAGGGCGCAAGCGUUGUCCGGAAUUAUUGGGCGUAAAGAGCUCGUAGGCGGCUUGUCGCGUCGGAUGUGAAAGCCCGGGGCUUAACUCCGGGUCUGCAUUCGAUACGGGCAGGCUAGAGUUCGGUAGGGGAGAUCGGAAUUCCUGGUGUAGCGGUGAAAUGCGCAGAUAUCAGGAGGAACACCGGUGGCGAAGGCGGAUCUCUGGGCCGAUACUGACGCUGAGGAGCGAAAGCGUGGGGAGCGAACAGGAUUAGAUACCCUGGUAGUCCACGCCGUAAACGUUGGGAACUAGGUGUGGGCGACAUUCCACGUCGUCCGUGCCGCAGCUAACGCAUUAAGUUCCCCGCCUGGGGAGUACGGCCGC
rnacentral:rRNA from 1 species